CUAGCGACUUCAGAGUUUGAUCCUGGCUCAGAUUGAACGCUGGCGGCAUGCCUUACACAUGCAAGUCGAACGGUAACGGAUCCUUCGGGAUGCCGACGAGUGGCGAACGGGUGAGUAAUACAUCGGAACGUGCCUGGUAUGGGGGAUAACUACUCGAAAGAGUGGCUAAUACCGCAUGAGAUCUCAGGAUGAAAGCAGGGGACCCUCGGGCCUUGCGCUAUCAGAGCGGCCGAUGGCAGAUUAGGUAGUUGGUGGGAUAAAAGCUUACCAAGCCGACGAUCUGUAGCUGGUCUGAGAGGACGAUCAGCCACACUGGGACUGAGACACGGCCCAG
rnacentral:rRNA from 1 species